rnacentral:rRNA from 1 species
GAUGAACGCUGGCGGCGUGCCUAACACAUGCAAGUCGAACGGAGUUAUAUGAAGUUUUCGGACGGAAUAUAACUUAGUGGCGGACGGGUGAGUAACGCGUGGGUAACCUGCCUCAUACAGGGGGAUAACAGUUGGAAUCGGCUGCUAAAACCGCAUAAGCAUACAUUGCCGCAUGGCAGAGUGUGAAAAUAUUUAUAGGUAUGAGAUGGGCCCGCGUCUGAUUAGCUAGUUGGUGGGGUAAAGGCCUACCAAGGCGACGAUCAGUAGCCGGCUUGGUAGGGUGACCGGCCACAUUGGGACUGAGACACGGCCCAAACUCCUACGGGAGGCAGCAGUGGGGAAUAUUGCACAAUGGGGGAAACCCUGAUGCAGCGACGCCGCGUGAGUGAAGAAGUAUUUCGGUAUGUAAAGCUCUAUCAGCAGGGAAGAAAAUGACGAUACCUGACUAAGAAGCCCCGGCUAACUACGUGCCAGCAGCCGCGGUAA